UCAAAUCACGCUGGCGGCGUGAAAAACAUGCAGGUCGAACGAGAAAGCGCUCUUCGGAGUGUGACUACAGUGGCGAACGGGUGAGUAACGCGUGGGUAACCUGCCCUUUGGAGCGGGAUAACUCGGGGAAACCCGGGCUAAUACCGCAUGAGCCUACGAGUUUUAAGCGAAGUAGGGAAAGCUCUUCGGGGUGCCGAAGGAGGGGCCCGCGUCCGAUUAGCUAGUUGGUGGAGUAAGAGUUCACCAAGGCGACGAUCGGUAGCCGGUCUGAGAGGACGGACGGUCACACUGGGACUGAGACACGGCCCAGACUCCUACGGGAGGCAGCAGUGGGGAAUUUUGCGCAAUGGGGGCAACCCUGACGCAGCAACGCCGCGUGAAGGAGGAAGGCUUUCGAGCCGUAAACUUCUGUUCUGGGGGACGAUAAUGACGGUACCCCAGCAGCAAGCCCCGGCUAACUCCGUGCCAGCAGCCGCGGUAAUACGGGGGGGGCGAGCGUUUGUUCGGAAUUUACUGGGCGUAAAGGGCGCGCAGGCGGGCCCGAGAAGUUUUUAGGUGAAAGCCCCGGGCUCAACCCCGGGAAGG
rnacentral:rRNA from 1 species